UACGUAGGGUGCAAGCGUUGUCCGGAAUUAUUGGGCGUAAAGAGCUCGUAGGCGGUCUGUCGCGUCGGCUGUGAAAUCCCGGAGCUCAACUCCGGGCCUGCAGUCGAUACGGGCAGACUGGAGUUCGGCAGGGGAGACUGGAAUUCCUGGUGUAGCGGUGAAAUGCGCAGAUAUCAGGAGGAACACCGAUGGCGAAGGCAGUGGGCUGGGCCGGCACUGACGCUGAGGAGCGAAAGCGUGGGGAGCGAACAGG
rnacentral:rRNA from 1 species